rnacentral:lncRNA from 1 species
UAAACAUGUUUUCUUAUGUAUCUUAAUUGGUGAUAUAUGGUCUAUAUUUGCUGGUAAGAAUAGAUACUUCAUGAUGCAAGGGAUAUCUGAAAUCUGAUUCUCUAAUUAACUUUAUUUAUUCUUUAUUUCAGAGCUACAACACUUCAAGAUGCAAGGGUAUUCAAAGUUGACAUAUGGAAACGUAUAGUACUUCAAUUUAAGGUAAGUUGUUCCUCAUGUUUUAUUUUCACAAAGAGUGAAGUAACUGUUCUCUUUAUUUCCUCUUAUAUUUGACAUUCUCUUUGUUUCAUGCAGAUGCACAAGGUCGUAAAUACAAUCCAGAACAAAUGAACGAAGAGUGAGUCAGGUGGUAAAAUCUAUCGCUCUUCUCAAACUAAGAAGUUAAUACAAACGUCAAACACAAAAACAACAAAACUAAAAACUUCGCAUACCCAAAAAAACAAACACUAAAACUCUACGUAACUCUACAAAACUCCACAAAAUGAAAACUUCAUAUGGCAUGAAACAAAACACAAAAAUCAACAAAAACUCCACAAAAUGAAAACUUCACGUGCCACGAAACACACAAACUUCACAUGCCACGAAACACAACACAAAAUCAACAAAAACUCCACAAAAUGAAAACUUCACUUGCCACGAAAUACAACACAAAAAUCAAUAAAAAUUCCACAAAAUGAAAACUUCACGUGCCACGAAAUACACAAACUUCACAUGCCACGAAAUUCAACACAAAAUGAAAAUUACACGUGCCACGUAACACAAAAAGUUCACAUGCCACGAAACAUAACACAAAAAUUCACAAUCACCCGUAAACAAAAUUCACAAUCACCCAUAAACAAAAUUCACAAUCAUGCAUACUUUUCUUUCCAUGACAAAUACUUUUAUGGAUAUAAUGCCAAAUACUUUCUUUCUAAUUUACUCGAGUUCAAUGUUGUCUAUUUAUAAUGUCGAUAACAAAUUCAUAUAUUUUAUGCAUGAUUUUUUAAUGUUAUCUGUUGGAUAAUUUAUUAUUAUCAAGUUUUGUUAUAUUUACUGUUAAAAGCAUUUCAAUUUUAAUUUGCAGCAUAUGUAUUAACAUCAUUUUCAUACACUUUUUUCUCCUCCUAAGUGCCAAACAAAUUUUCGCAUUAUCUUUUUGUUUGUCGAUGUGGUUCAGCGAGUGUAAACAUUGUUUGUACUUUUGCUUUUGGUUAUUUUUUGUUGAUUAUAACAGACGUUAAUUUGUACAUUUCUUUAUGUAAAUAUCAUUUUCUUUGGAUGAAGAAUUUCAUCAGUUGUCGUUAUUGUAAGUUUCUGGUUUUCCAUUGUAAUGUGUAACACUGUAUUUACAAUUAUAAAAUGGAUUUGGAAAAAGUGUUUAAGACACAAGAAAACCAAACGAAACCCUCUGAAUCAA